rnacentral:antisense_RNA from 1 species
AUGACCUGUACUUCUCUGUUCUCUCCCCUACUGCAAAGAGGCAGCGAGGGCAGCAUUAGUAAGCCUGACUCAGGGGAAAUGAACAACACAGAUGGGUUAAAUGAUUUGCCUAAAGUCACACAGCUCAUAAGGGCCAGAGCCUGCACUUUCAUCCACUAGCCUAUAUUCUGUGCUGUCAUCACUGAUAGCAGUGACUGAGACUGAGAGAAAAAGUCACUUAAGAGCCGAUGGCUGCUACUAAAAAAUUUAAAUGUGUGGCUCAUGUUACAUUUCAACUGGACACUGCUAUGCUGGUUCCAGCAUGAAAGACAGCCAUGUGUCCCUGGAAUGCAGAGUGUGCACACAAUCCCUGCGGAACCAACACAGGAUACAAAGGUUUUCUUCUCCUCUGCUAUCCAGAGCCUGUGAGAGCUCCAGCUGUAGACUAUCAGGUUGGGGUAAAGGCCGCUGUGCACAGGCACACUCACAUUUACUACCACCACCAAGCGAGCACCUGCUGAGGCUCUGAUCUGCUGUUAACACCAUGUCGGGGAGGGAAGUGUCCAGAAGAGGGGGCAGUGAACCCAAAGGAAGGCUGCAGAGAAGCCAACUAUAAUAAACUAAUAAGCUAUCACAGAAUCAAGACACAUGCACAUGGAACAGUCAAAUGAUUCCUGCAGGCAAAGUUCCU